rnacentral:rRNA from 1 species
UACGUAGGGGGCAAGCGUUGUCCGGAAUCAUUGGGCGUAAAGAGCGUGUAGGCGGCCCGGUAAGUCCGUUGUGAAAGUCGAGGGCUCAACCCUCGAAUGCCGGCGGAUACUGUCGGGCUAGAAUCCGGAAGAGGCGAGUGGAAUUCCUGGUGUAGCGGUGAAAUGCGCAGAUAUCAGGAGGAACACCAAUGGCGAAGGCAGCUCGCUGGGACGGUAUUGACGCUGAGACGCGAAAGCGUGGGGAGCAAACAGG